rnacentral:pre_miRNA from 1 species
AAGUUGUCUGGGUUGAGGUAAAGUGUUGCUUCGUCUAAGUAAUUAAUGUUGCCUUCAUUCAAUUCAAUUUGAGUUACGCUACGUGCAUUACACUCAGAGGAAGCAGCACUUGUACCUCAACUAAUUAACUU